GAUGAAGAACGCAGCGAAAUGCGAUAAGUAGUGUGAGUUGCAGAAUUCAGUGAAUCAUCGAAUCUUUGAACGCACAUUGCGCCCCUUGGUAUUCCAUGGGGCAUGCCUGUUCGAGCGUCAUUUGUACCUUCAAGCUCUGCUUGGUGUUGGGUGUUUGUCUCGCCUCUGCGUGUAGACUCGCCUCAAAAUAAUUGGCAGCCGGCGUAUUGAUUUCGGAGCGCAGUACAUCUCGCGCUUUGCACUCAUAACGACGACGUCCAAAAGUACAUUUUUACACUCUUGACCUCGGAUCAGGUAGGGAUACCCGCUGAACUUAAGCAUAUCAAUAAGCGGAGGA
rnacentral:misc_RNA from 1 species